rnacentral:misc_RNA from 1 species
GGGAUGCCAAGGGGGAGCACCAGAAGAGCAAUAGCUCCAGCAAAGAGGACUCGCGCGGUGUAGAUCGAGUUGGAGGAGGCGGAGUUGAGGAGGAGGAGGUAGAGGCCGGUGAGGAAGGCGAGGGCAUUGAGGAAGAUGAAGACGUGGGAGUCACGGCGAACGGCAUCCGGGGGGAAGGGUUGGAGUGUGGCAGCAGGCGGUGGGCGGAGGAUGGGGAUGAGGGCAGCGGUGGAGGCGAGGA